GGGAGCNUUACAUGGCAGUCGAGGGGCAUCGGGAGGGAAGCUUGCUUUCCUUGCCGGCGACCGGCGCACGGGUGAGUAACACGUAUGCAACCUGCCCUCUUCAGGGGGACAACCUUCCGAAAGGGAGGCUAAUCCCGCGUAUAUCGGUUUCGGGCAUCCGGGAUCGAGGAAAGAUUCAUCGGAAGAGGAUGGGCAUGUGGCGCAUUAGCUUGACGGCGGGGUAACGGCCCACCGUGGCGACGAUGCGUAGGGGUUCUGAGAGGAAGGUCCCCCACACUGGUACUGAGACACGGACCAGACUCCUACGGGAGGCAGCAGUGAGGAAUAUUGGUCAAUGGGAGAGAUCCUGAACCAGCCAAGCCGCGUGAGGGAAGACGGCCCUAUGGGUUGUAAACCUCUUUUGUCGGAGAACAAAACCCGGGACGUGUCCCGGACUGCGUGUAUCCGAAGAAAAAGCAUCGGCUAACUCCGUGCCAGCAGCCGCGGUAAUACGGAGGAUGCGAGCGUUAUCCGGAUUUAUUGGGUUUAAAGGGUGCGUAGGCGGUCCGUUAAGUCAGCGGUAAAAUUGCGGGGCUCAACCCCGUCGAGCCGUUGAAACUGGCAGACUUGAGUUGGCGAGAAGUACGCGGAAUGCGCGGUGUAGCGGUGAAAUGCAUAGAUAUCGCGCAGAACUCCGAUUGCGAAGGCAGCGUACCGGCGCCAGACUGACGCUGAGGCACGAAAGCGUGGGGAUCGAACAGGAUUAGAUACCCUGGUAGUCCACGCAGUAAACGAUGAAUGCUGGUUGUCCGGGUCGAAUG
rnacentral:rRNA from 1 species